ACUUCUAUGGUUUCAAAAGUGUUCGGGUUUUAUGCGUUCAAAUAAAACCCGACUCCCGAGCACUUUUGAAACCAUGGAAGU